rnacentral:tRNA from 1 species
AUUUAGGUAGCUUAUAUUUAGAGCAUAACAUUGAAGCUGUUAUAGAGGAUUAAUUCCCUUAAAUA